GGAAGGAAUAUAUUUUGAAGAAACUUUUGCAUCGAUAGCUAGAUUAGAAUCCAUUCUAUGCUUUUUGCAUUUGCUUGCUACAAAGGUUUUACAUUAUACCAAAUGGAUGUCAAAAGUGCAUUUUUAAAUGGAUAAAUUCAAGAAGAGGUCUUUGUUGAACAACCUUCUGGUUUCAAAGAUCACAAAUAUCUAAAUCAUGUUUUCAAACUUAGAAAAGCACUUUAUGGGCUAAAACAACCUAGGGCUUGGUAUGAACGUUUGAGUAAAUUUUUAAUUUCAAAUGGUUUUUCUGUUGGAAAGGCCGAUAUCACACUUUUUUGUAAAAAAAUAGAAGAAUGACAUGCUUAUCGUUCAAAUUUAUGUGGAUGAUAUUAUAUUUGGUGCCACUAACAUAUGUUUUUGUGAAGAAUUCUCUAAAAGUAUGAGCAAGGAAUUUGAAAUGAGCAUGAUGGGAGAAUUAAAAUUCUUCUUCGGUUUGCAAAUUAAACAAACUCGUAAUGAAAUCUUCAUAAAUCAAAGCAAGUAUUUGCUAGAGAUGCUCAAAAAAUUCUACAUGGAUGGGCUAAAACCAAUGAACACUCCCAUGAGUUCAACAAUUAAGCUCGACAAAGAUGACCAUGUUACUCAUAUUGAUGUGACUAAAUAGCCAGGUAUGAUCGGAUCUCUUCUUUAUUUAACCACUAGUAAACCCGAUAUGAUGUUUAGUGUUUGUCUAUAUGCUAGAUUUCAAUCUAAUCCUAAAGAAUCGCACCUCAAAGCCGUUAAAGGAAUUCUUAGAUAUCUUAAUGGAACUAAAAUGUUAGGUCUUUGGUAUCCAAAAGGAACUCACAUUAACUUACUUAGCUAUUCGGAUGCCGAUUGGGCUAGUUGCACUAUUGAUCGCAAGAGUACUGGUGGAACAUGUCACUUCUUAGGCUUCGCACUAGUCUCAUGGUUUAGCAAGAAAUAAAAUUCUGUUACUUUAUCUACAUCCGAAGCCGAAUAUAUUUCCGCUGCUAGUUGUUGUGCACAAGUAUUAUGGAUGAAUGUACCUAUUAUGUGUGAUAACACUAGUGCCAUAAAUUUGUCUAAAAAUCUUAUAUUGCACUCACGAACAAAACACGUUGAGAUUAGACAUCAUUUUCUUAGAUAUCAUGCUCAAAAAGAUGGCAUUGGUUUAGAAUUUGUCAAUACAAAAAAUCAAUUGGCCGAUAUCUUCACUAAACCUCUUUCUCUCGACCAUUUCACACACAUUCGUAGAGGUUUAGGAAUUGUUGAUGAAAUUGAAAUAAAAAAUUGAUGUGGUGACUAUUUUGCUCUUUUUAUUUUUUAAAAAAAAAAAGUUUUUUUGACGAGUUUAUCGGACGUGUCCGAUACAUAAAGGACAACUAUAACGGACCGUCCUCUAAGUCAUCUGGUUCAACAGAAACUUUUUUUCCUAUAUCGAAUGAUCCGGCACAUUAUACCGGACGUCCGAUAAACUGAAUCUCACAUUUUAAAAUUGCAAAAAAUAUCAUUUUCUUCCCACUUUUUUUCUUCCUUUCUUCAUCUCCUUCACAUUCUUCACUACCCUCCACUCCAAAUUCCUCAUUCCACUCUUCUAAUUUUUCAAUUUUUACGCAACCCACUUCCUUCACUCUUGUUUCCAAAUCAGAAUUUUGAAAAAGGGCAAAAUUUCUCUCCUUUCCCCAAUCUCAUGCCCUAACUCUCGUUUUUAUUUUUUGCUUCAAUUCAAACAAUGUUGAGAACAAAGCAAGUUGGAGAAGGGGCAAAAACUACGGAACAUCAGCCUACAACGCCCUCCUCCGACGAAGAAACGGAUUUCGAACCUUAAGAGGCGGUGAACCCAUUUGAAAAAUCUCUCAUUCUACUAGGUAAAAAUGUUGAUUUUUCAGCUUUUUCUAUUGAAGCGAAUUCUUUGAAAAAAUGGGGUGGAUUUCGGUACAUUCGUUGGAAGAAAAUGCUUACCCUCAACUCUUGAAAACCUUUUACACAAAAAUGGCUAUUACACCACGUUCCGAUAGUAUCUCCCGUCUUAUUAAAAAUGUAAGGACCACUGUUACUAAAGCUCUUAUUGGGGAAAUUCUUAGGCUUGAACCAUGUGAUACGCAAGUUUUUGUUCAUAAAGCUCACCCGAUCUUAGAAGGUUAUAACCCUAGUGACGCAUGUCGUCGUUUGAUGGGGAAAGAUUUUGAAAACAUCACAAAAAUUAGUGCUAAUCAACUCACUCUACCUUACAAAGUAUUGCAAAAUAUCAUGGCAAAUAUUAUUUUACCUAGAAAAGGGCAUCGAUAUGAGGUUAAUUACUUUGAUUUGUUCAUUCUCGAUUCAUUUCUCAUUGGCCGAAGGUUAGAUUUCCCAACAAUUACUUUAGGUCUUAUGAAACUUAUCCACACUUCUCGUUAUUCCAAAGCUUUGUCCUAUGGUAUGCUUUUAACAAAAAAUUUCAAACACUUCAAUGUCUCUCUUGAGGGUGAAGCCGUCAUCAAACCUCGUCCCACCAAUACAAUAAAUAUUCAAACCCUUAAGCGCAUGAAAAUAUUUAAAACUCAAGGACAAUGUGUGGUUUACACUAAAGGGUUCAACCCCGCCUCGGGUCCUUCCACAUUACCGUUUGAGGACGAAGAAGAUGCCGAAGAAGACGUACCGUUACUCUUGCAUCCACCGUCGAUUAGUACCUCUUCAUCUUCUUCCUGAGGAUUCACUUUUAUUGAGGAUCAGUAUAAUUUACUCACCGGGCGUCUUGACUCUCUCAUGACUUCAAUUGAUGGGCUUAGAGGUGUUCUUCAGAAUGUCCAGUCAUAGUAGGCCGCGAUCUAGGCUCGACAGGAUGCCAUUCUUGCACUACAGGCUGAAAUGCAUGCUCAGUAGAAUGCGUUCUAUGCUCACUUUUACACACAUUUUCCUCCACCACCACCUCCGUUGUCUUAGCUUUUAGUUUUAUCAUUUAUCUUAUGCAUUUUUUUUGUACUCCCGAACUCAUUAUGACUCUAUCUUUUAUGGACUCAUUAUGAUAUUAUGAACUUAUGUCUCUUCUCUUAUUUGUCAAUUUUUUGAUUAUGCCAAAAGGGGGAAAAUUAUACAUAAAUAAUAUGCAUGAUUUAUUAUAUGAGAUGAUAUGCAUGUUUAUAUGAGAUACAUAUGAGACGGUAUGUAUGAUAGGAAUGCUUAAGUAAGGGGGAAUACACGUGCAAAAGAUAGGGAGAAUUAUUUCGUUACUUAUCAUUUUUUUACUUAUUAAAUCUCCAUCAUCUCCUGUUUGUCACUUUCAAAAAGGGGGAAAUUGUUGACCUACGGUUGACUUCUUAUUUUGAUUAUAAGAAAACAAAUUUUAUUUAACGAUUGUAUUUGAGUGAUUAUAGAAGUUUAUGACAAGCAUGGACAAAAUGAUGCUUUCGAAGCUCUCGCAAAAUUGGACAAAGUAGAAACCAAGCUACAUAUCAAGACAACGAGCACUUCAUCAAGUCAAACAAAGAAGAUAUUAGAUUUAGAGACCUUGAUUUCAAAUGUUAAGGAUGAGAUGAUUGUCAAAGAGUAUGAAUAUCUUGUAGAGAGGGCAAAUGAGCAACAACUUCCUGAAGAUACCCCUUUGGAAGAGAUACCUGUAGAUGAUCCUGAUGCUGGAAUUAAUAUCAUGAUGUCCGUUCUAGAUACGAAGCCCGAGCGUCAAAUUCUUGGGUUAAGAGAUGGCCGCCUUCAAGACAUUGGGACAUCUUUUUCUAACAUAUGCAGUUUGGAGAAGGAGUUGGAAGCAGAACGUGCUGCUCGUAAGGUAGCCAAUGCGGCUCGAGUAAACAUGGAACAAAAUAUGCAAAACAAGCUAAAGGUUGUCGAGCAACAAUUCAAUUCUACAUAACAAUCUUGGCAUCAUUCUAUACAACAGUUAUGUGGUAAAGUUCCUAGCUUCAUUGUACCACCAUUUAUACCAUUGUCAAUAGAGAAUAAUGCUAAUGAGAAAGAUUAUGCUAUUGAGGAUGAAGAGAAUAAUUUUGGUGAGAAUUAGUGCAAGUCUAAUUAACGAGACUGAAGAGUCAUUUUUUUAUUUGCAUAAAAAUAGAUAUAUAGUAUGCUUGCUCUGCUUAUUUUAA